rnacentral:tRNA from 1 species
GGAAGAGAUAUUCAUCUGGUGAUGGAGCCGGACUUCAAAUCCGGUGGGGGCCGCGAGCCGGUCUCUGGUGGGUUCGACUCCCACUCUCUUCCGCCA